rnacentral:pre_miRNA from 1 species
CAAACCCCAGGUCUGCUGACUCCUCGUCCAGUGCUCGAGAUGGCUGCUGGGCCCUGAACUGGGGGUCUGGAGGCCUGGGUUUGAAUAUCGCCAG